rnacentral:lncRNA from 1 species
UGGCGGCCGGCGCUGAGGGAUCAAUUCUAUGACCUCUUCAGCUGCGCAGGCAAAGGGAGUCUUAAACUGACUGAAUACUGUUUGCUCAGGAUCACUUGGCAAUGCUGGGCUGAAGUGGACCUAGGGCAAGCAGUUUGUGCCCCUCAGAGCCCACACUGAGCCCAGAGCGGGUGAAUUCAGGCUGCCCAGAGCAGUCUCUGGCUGAUUGUCUGCGCCUUCCCGCCAAACCACCGCGACUCAGUGCUACAGACAUUCUGGCGGAAUAGAGAAACAACUCCUCGGUUCCUCCAUUAACCUUUUGAGGUGAUGCCAACCAAGCCUUCAUAGGCAGCGGGCCCAGAAUUGAGAAGGGACCUGGGAGAGUCAGACUGGACCCACCCAGCAAAGAGAACAAACAUCUGCCCUUCGCAUUGGACACCACCAUGGCAGAGAACUGACGUCACCAGAAUUCAGUGGAGGGGAUAGCUUAAUCGAAACCGGAGACUGCAGGUGUGUGAC